rnacentral:lncRNA from 1 species
UUUCCAUCUGGCAUUUCUCCCCAGAGCCUAGUCCAGUGUCUGAGUUGUCCCUAAGGAGCUCGCAACCCAGAUAAUGAGAUAAACCCAGAGAUGAAUCUAUUGGAGAAACUGCAAAGCAAUAAAUGAAACGAUUGCCAGGUCAGAACACUGUAACUCCAUAGUAAGCCAUUGCCCAGUGGAAAUAGAUGACUGUUUCUCUCACUCGGUCUUGCUCCGUUGCCCAGACUGAAGAGCAGUGGCUCAUUCUUGGCUCACUGUAGCCUCAACUUUCCAGGGCUCAAGCGAUCCUCCCACCUCACCCUCCAAAGUAGCUGGGACUACAGGCACAUGCCACCACGCCCGGCUAAUUUUUUUAUUUUUCGUAGAAACGUGGUUUAAUCCGUUGUCCAGGACGGUCUUGAAUUCCUGGGUGCAAGUGGUCCUCCCACAUCAACCUCCCAAAAUGCUGGGAUUACCGGCAUGAACCGCCAUGCCUGGCCUAAUUUUUAAUUUUACAUAUUGUGAUAUGUUAGUACAUUUUAUUAUUAUUUUCCGGUUUUUUUUUCUGAUUUGAGAAACAUUAAAAUUAAGACUUUUU